GUGUUGACAAUAUAGAAAAUUAUAUUGGGAAGUUGUCAUUUCUACAGUAAAAACAGCUUUUUUUUCAAGUAGUACGAAUUGUGACUUCGAUUUAUCUGUGGAACUAUUUGAACAGAAGGUAAAGCAGUAAUUUUGUUGUAUUUAGAAAGCAAACAGAGUCAUAUUUUUAAAAAUAUAGCGCACUGAAUAUAAAUUUGAGCAUCAUUAAAAUGUGUUCGCUAUGAUGCCAUUUUGUCUCCGGUAUAUACGGAGUUCUGCUUUUAUACUUGUGGAUAUUCGAAUUUAUUUGGCUCAAAAACACCAUUACUUCAAUAUCCCUUUCUUGUUUUUCCUUGGAUAGGUUUUAACAAGAUAGAACUCUAGAUCCCUUGGGUCCAAAGACGCUAGAUUAUAAACUGAUCCUGAUGUGACUUGAUACUACAAAUAGAAUAUGUCUUAUGAUUUUAUAAUACUACAAAUAAAAUGUCUUUUAAGUACAAACUUCAAUGAAUUGAUAAAGUGUAAGGAUAGUGUUUAAAGUUGCUUCAUGUGUAGAAGCUGAAUUACUUUAGUUUAUACACUGUAUAUUGUCGAGAUCACAUGUUGAUAUGACUUAAUACCAGCAACUUGCAAUAAGUGGUCUGUUCUGCUUGUUUAUAAUACUUUAGAGUUUGGACAUUAGAACAUUGUAAUUGCCUGACAGAGACUGUUAGGGCCUGUUUGUAUGGAAGCCGGGCUGGCCCGCUUAGCAAGACAGCCCGGUAAUUUUGUUGUUUUGACAGUUGUUAAAAAUAGCUUGCGGCAGUAUCUUUUAACUUUCAUCCCGGCAACCGGGCUAGCCUGCUUAUGAUUGUUUAUGUGGAGAAAUUUCCAUCCUGGUCUUGGCAACCGGGCCUGCCCGCUUGUCCAUAGAAAUGAUAAUUUGUACUAUAAAAAUAACUAGACAGCGAGAUCUCACUUACCGGGCUGUCUCACUUAGUGGGCCAGCCAGUUUCGAUAUAAACAGGCCCUUACACAACUGCUAAAAGCUGCAAGUUUCUUUAAAGCAAUAUCAUCUAUAUCACAGAAUACAGUUUCUGUAGUGACAUACUUUGUGUUUUUUCUGUCUUUAAAGUGUCUUAUGUUUGUAAUAUUUUUGUACAAUACCUUUUUGAAAUUGUUGAUACUGGUCUCAUUGUAACUCAGUAGUCUCAGUUAUUCCUUCUCAAGAAAAAUACAAAAACAAAGCUGUGUUGGUGUGUUUUUGCUCUAGCUAGUUUUUACAUUUACAUGGUUCAUGUACAAUUAAUGUACAUUUAAAUUAGCUUUGUUCAAUGAAUACAGGUGUGAUUCAAAUAUCAUUCCUGUCAGGUACUUGGGUCAAAUAGACAUAUGCAUACUAAAUCAUGAUGUGAAUUGAAAUACAAGUAUAGGGUGUAUAUUGUUUAAUAAAUAUAUUUUCCAGUUAACCCAGU